AUUGUGUCCAUGGGUAGCCCUGUACCAGGUAAUGAAAGGAUUUCUCUUAUGUUUCUGUUCUUUGUUUUCAAGGAACAACAGAGAGAUGGUAUUUCCAGACAAGGGAAUAAAUUCCCGGAAGCAACUGGCCAAGGAAUGAAAAUCCUGGAGAACAGAGUGGAAGAAACGCGUAUUCCACAUUUCCUGUUGAUUUUCUUUCCUCCCUAAACACUGACCUCCCGCAGUCUUCACUAGCAGGUGAGGUCACCUGUAGAGGUCAUGCUGCGGAGUCCCGAGUCCCUGAUUAUAUUCAAGACGUGGAGCUCUCUUUUUCCCGUCCUGCUUUCUUUCCAGAAGUGCCUCAGAUGCAUCCUCCCCUUCUCUUUUCUCCACAUGAAGACGUCACUGACCAUCUUCUCUGGUUUGCUUUCCAACACCGAGCACCAAGUGCUUCAAAGGUCAUGGUGCCCUGGGGCCGAGAGCUACUUAUGUGGGCAUUUAUAACCAAAUAAAUAUUGAAAUGGCCCACAAAGCAAAUGUUAGUGGUAACCAACAGCGGUAAAACUGGGUACAUGGGACCCUGAACCUUCUUGAAUAUUCCCCAUGAGACCCUGGGCCGACCUUCGGGCUUUCCAGUGUGCUCAGAAAAUCCUCCGUGGCUCCCAGCCCCAGCUUAGUCUUUCAACGGUCCUCGGACUGAAGCAAGAGACAGGGAAGGAAUUGUCCAAGGUUUUCCAGCAUGCUGAGAACACUUACCAUGGUGGAGCCUGGCACGUACUGGCUCUUUGAUGCAUGUGUAUUGGUCUCAAGUAGCCAGAAGCAUCUCCUCUGAGAGCCCUUGCCCUCCAGUUUAAAUGGCAAAUGGAAGGGAAUGGGUUCUGGAAGGCCCCAGGUGGGCUGGGGUGGGUUCUGGAGACCAUCUUCCAACUCCUGUUCAGGAGGAGGGUUGGUCAGAUCAGCUCUGUGGCCACCUGGGCUCUGGAGGGGCGAGAUACGGGCAGGUGCGGCCACAGGAGGGAGAGCACCAUGUGCGGGGGAAGCCCACAGCUGGAACCAAAAGGCCCCAGGAGGGAUCCUGGCUCUGACAUCUCCCAGCCGUGUGGCCUUGGGCAAGGUCCCUGACUUGGACCUCAGCCUCCUCAUCUGUAAAACAGGCAGAACAGUAAUACCGACCUUGUAGGUUGUAUAGAGUUCAUAUACAUCAAGCACUUACCACAGUGCCUGGCGGACCGCAUGCCCUAAACACACAAUCCGUGAAAUGAAUCCAUCAGCAAGCAGCUGCUAGGGGCAGUGUGGGGCAGAGAGGCAGCUGCCUGCUGGAACUGGCUGACAGGAGGAUGAGUGUGUGGCAGGAGGAACGCUCUGCACAGAGGACACUAGGUAGCGUCACCUGUCUCUUACCCUGUGUCUCCACUGGAAUGGAAUGUCAGACUCGCACCAUGCAUUCCUUUCCCUGCCAAAACGCCUCCUCUUAGCAGUGAGCAAGAAAGUUGUUCGAGUGGAUGAAGCCAAAAGCCCAUUUGGCAAGAGUGCUGUUUUGGAAAAUGCUUAGCGGUGUGGGUUGGGAUGAGGUUUUCUGUGCCUUUCCAUUAUUUCUUCAGCUUCAUGUAACCCUGACUGAGCAAUGCUCAGCAGAGUGAAGGCUGGGCAGCAGAUGGACAAGAUUUUCUCAAACUCCUUUUUAAGCCAAUUUCAAAAUAGAGAGAGGGAAAAAUCCUUGUUUUCUCUUUUCGGUUUUGAGAGGUUUCAUAUGCAGACACAAUUUUAAAUUUUAUUUUUUUUGCCCCCAAUGAGAUGUUUGGAGAUGGUGGUACUAGAACAGGAAGGAAUUUAUAAGUAUUGGGGAAUUUUUCAUCCCAAUUCCCAUAUCCUCCUAUAAUUCAAGGAGUGAAUGGGUAGUGUUUUUGUUUUUGUGAGAGGGGUGGCGGAGGGUAGAGAGAGAAAGAGAGAGAGACAGAGAGAGAUUACAUAGAGGUGUCCAAAAUGAACACAGUAAAAACCAGUUUUGAUUAAUUCUGCAAUAUUAAGUAGGCAGCCAAAAAUUUUGGUCUGCUUAAUUCUUAGCUCAUCUAAGUCUCCAGUUGACUGAUUGAUUGAUUGAAUGACUUAUUCAACAUGCGCUAGCCAGACACUGGUCUAGGGCCCAGGAAUUCAGCAAUAAAUGAAACAAGACCAAAAAAA
ensembl:lncRNA LINC00323 long intergenic non-protein coding RNA 323